rnacentral:rRNA from 1 species
CCUUCGGGGUACUCGAGCGGCGAACGGGUGAGUAACACGUGAGUAACCUGCCCCCGACUCUGGGAUAAGCCCGGGAAACUGGGUCUAAUACCGGAUACGACCACUUCAGGCAUCUGAUGGUGGUGGAAAGAUUUCUCGGUUGGGGAUGGACUCGCGGCCUAUCAGCUUGUUGGUGGGGUAGUGGCCUACCAAGGCGACGACGGGUAGCCGGCCUGAGAGGGCGACCGGCCACACUGGGACUGAGACACGGCCCAGACUCCUACGGGAGGCAGCAGUGGGGAAUAUUGCGCAAUGGGCGGAAGCCUGACGCAGCGACGCCGCGUGGGGGAUGACGGCCUUCGGGUUGUAAACCUCUUUCAGCAGGGACGAAGUUGACGUGUACCUGCAGAAGAAGCGCCGGCUAACUACGUGCCAG